UACGUAGGGGGCAAGCGUUGUCCGGAAUCAUUGGGCGUAAAGCGCGUGUAGGCGGUCCGGUAAGUCGGCUGUGAAAGUCCGGGGCUCAACCCUGGGAGGCGGGUGGAUACUGUCGAGCUAGAGUCCGGAAGAGGCGAGUGGAAUUCCUGGUGUAGCGGUGAAAUGCGCAGAUAUCGGGAGGAACACCAAUGGCGAAGGCAGCUCGCUGGGACGGUACUGACGCUGAGACGCGCAAGCGUGGGGAGCAAACAGG
rnacentral:rRNA from 1 species